rnacentral:rRNA from 1 species
CGAAGGGUGCAAGCGUUACUCGGAAUUACUGGGCGUAGAGCGUGCGUAGGUGGUUCGUUAAGUCUGAUGUGAAAGCCCUGGGCUCAACCUGGGAAUGGCAUUGGAAACUGGCGACCUAGAGUGCGGUAGAGGGUAGUGGAAUUCCCGGUGUAGCAGUGAAAUGCGUAGAGAUCGGGAGGAACAUCCGUGGCGAAGGCGACUACCUGGACCAGCACUGACACUGAGGCACGAAAGCGUGGGGAGCAAACAGGAUUAGAUACCCUGGUAGUCCACGCCCUAAACGAUGCGAACUGGAUGUUGGGUGCAACUAGGCACUCAGUAUCGAAGCUAACGCGUUAAGUUCGCCGCCUGGGGAGUACGGUCGCAAGACUG